rnacentral:lncRNA from 1 species
AAUCUGCAUUACGUCACCAGCCUGCCUCCCAGUCUUGCCCUUAGUUUCUUCAUUGGAGGAAACUUAAAAAAAAAAAAAAAAGAAGAAGAAGAAGAGGAAGGCGAAAGAAAGAAAGAAACCGAGGCCAGGGUUUCUAGACAGUGUCUUAGAGACCAGAAGCUAACUAAAAAAAAAAAAAAAAAAUCUUGGAUUCCUGAGUACGGAAUUUCGAGACUAGGAACCCGAGGAGAUACUCAGGAGACUCAGUGUGGACACGCCAGAAAUUCAGGUGGAAACAGUGACUUGAGGCCGGCGCAUUCCUGUUCGUGACAAAACCACAGGCACAGACGCUGGUGUGCUCUACAUCUUUAGAACACAAACGUGCUGGAUCAGGCUUGGCACAUGACGCAAAGUGGGGGCGAGUCUGGAAUAUGAAUAAAUAAGAGCCUCCAUACUGUCUCUUUUUAAA